CCUACGGGUGGCAGCAGUGGGGAAUAUUGGACAAUGGGGGCAACCCUGAUCCAGCCAUGCCGCGUGUGUGAAGAAGGCCCUCGGGUUGUAAAGCACUUUCAGUGAGGAAGAACGCCUGGUGGUUAAUACCCAUCAGGAAAGACAUCACUCACAGAAGAAGCACCGGCUAACUCCGUGCCAGCAGCCGCGGGAAUACGGAGGGUGCGAGCGUUAAUCGGAAUUACUGGGCGUAAAGCGCGCGUAGGUGGCGUGAUAAGCCGGUUGGGAAAGCCCCGGGCUCAACCUGGGAACGGCAUCCGGAACUGGCAAGCUAGAGUGCAGGAGAGGAAGGUAGAAUUCCCGGUGUAGCGGUGAAAUGCGUAGAGAUCGGGAGGGAUACCAGUGGCGAAGGCGGCCUUCUGGACUGACACUGCCACUGAGGUGCGAAAGCGUGGGUCGCACACCGGAUUAGAUACCCGAGUAGUC
rnacentral:rRNA from 1 species